UACGUAGGGUGCAAGCGUUAAUCGGAAUUACUGGGCGUAAAGCGUGCGCAGGCGGUUUUGUAAGUCUGUCGUGAAAUCCCCGGGCUCAACCUGGGAAUUGCGAUGGAGACUGCAAGGCUAGAAUCUGGCAGAGGGGGGUAGAAUUCCACGUGUGAGCAGUGAAAUGCGUAGAGAUGUGGAGGAACACCGAUGGCGAAGGCAGCCCCCUGGGUCAAGAUU
rnacentral:rRNA from 1 species